rnacentral:lncRNA from 1 species
GGGCCUGAGGUAUAAAUGCAGGAUGGGUGCCGGCCCCGCCUGCCAGGGCCUCUGCACGUGGGUACCGCGGUGCUGGCCCAGAAGAGCCAGCUGAAGUCUAAUGGACCUGAGCAUGAACCCCCGGCCCCCACAGGAGACAGCUUGGCGGCAGUGAAAUGGAGGAUGAGGCUGGGGCCUUCAAGGAAAGGUGAUACCUCCCUUCCUGAAUGCCACCAGGGAUGGCCGAGGAGACCUCACAGCAUUAGUGAGACCCACCGUGGGGGGUUCAGGUGAGAAACUAAUACCUGAAAGAGGCAAAGAGGCUUGUUGCAAAUACCUGCCUUUACAUAUGCAAUUGGCUGGGUCCUGGUGGGAUGACACCGUGAGGUUGGUAAAGCCCCACUUUCUGUGUUGGGCCACACGUGUCAGGAGGCAGCUCAGCUCUGCUUCCCCAGGCCUUUAAAGAACAUGUGACAUCAGGAGUGGUCCCU